rnacentral:lncRNA from 1 species
AGAAAUGGCAUCGAAGAACACUGCUACUGCUGCGGGCUCGAUGACGAUCAAGGCGGGUCAGGUUUCCCUGCCAGCAUCCAUCCUCACUUUCGGAGCUGCCGGUGCUACGAUCCAAUUCGGCACCAUCUCGGAAGAGGCUAGGGCUGCUGCUAUGGCCCCUUUCACUGCUGCUACCAGCACCGACACCGUUAAGACUGUGGUUCCCCGCCUUCCCUCUCGUGGAAGGCGCCCAAAUGUCGUCAUCCCCAACCCUCCUCGCGUUCCAAUGAAGGAGAGGAUGACUCUUAACGCCUCUCGUGUCCCUGUGAGG